GCAGGAGUGCGCAAGUGGUCAUAAGCGCCUAGACUUGAAAUCUUGUGUGAGCUAAAUACUCCCGUGGGUUCGAAUCCUACCUCCUGCG
rnacentral:tRNA from 2 species